rnacentral:rRNA from 1 species
UACAGAGGGGGCAAGCGUUGUUCGGAAUUACUGGGCGUAAAGGGCGCGUAGGCGGCCUGUUAAGUCGAACGUGAAAUCCCUGGGCUCAACCCAGGAACUGCGUCCGAUACUGGCAGGCUUGAAUCCGGGAGAGGGAUGCGGAAUUCCAGGUGUAGCGGUGAAAUGCGUAGAUAUCGGAAGGAACAUCAGUGGCGAAGGCGACUUCCUGGACCAAUACUGACGCUCAGGUGCGAAAGCGUGGGGAGCAAACAGG